rnacentral:rRNA from 1 species
UACGUAGGUGGCAAGCGUUAUCCGGAAUUAUUGGGCGUAAAGCGUGCGCAGGCGGUUCGUUAAGUCAGAUGUGAAAGCCCCGGGCUCAACCUGGGAACUGCAUUUGAAACUGGCGGGCUUGAGUAUGGCAGAGGGGGGUGGAAUUCCGCGUGUAGCAGUGAAAUGCGUAGAGAUGCGGAGGGACACCGAUGGCGAAGGCAGCCCCCUGGGCCAAUAUUGACGCUGAGGUGCGAAAGCGUGGGGAGCAAACAGG